GAUAAACAGCUGAUUGGCAUGAUCAGCUGUUUGCCGUGCUUUUAUUUUUCCAUAUUUCUUAACUAUUAAUAAACUAUUAAUGUAUAAUUGUUUCAUUUUAUAUAAAAGACCAAAAUUAGCAUUUAAAAUGGGUCUACACUGGCAAAAUGUGUGAGAAUAAAAGAAUUUAAACAUCGUCAUUUCAAAAAUUUCUAAAAGAUAGUGAGAGAAAAAUUAAAUGGUUUUCUCUGUUAGGAUUUAUUCAUAGCAUAAUAUUAAAAAGUCGAGCAAAAGAGAACUCAAGAACAGCUGAUUUUUUUAUAAGGAAUUGAAGAAAAUAUUUAAAAUCUGAUGAUUUUCACAGCCAUUUAUGUCGCGAUUUGUGGUCUUUCAGUUGUUUCAACAUCACCUAGGAAAUUAACAUUAAGAUAUCAGGAUCCUGCAUAUAACGAGAUAAGAACUAUGAUCUUGUUAGGAUACCUAUUCCGUCACAAUAUGAAGUGAAGAUAUUCAUGGUGUGGAAGUCGUUACUUUAAUUACAUAGUGCAUAUGAAAUUGGUCCUUUACAUCAUGUUUAAAAUUGACGUAAUGCUACUAUGCAAAAUAGUGAGAGAUGUGAACCCUAGGCAGAGCUACAGAAUUACUUUUGUUGAGAGACAAAUUAUGAUAGUGAUUAGAAUCGCAUAUUCUAGACUUUUACUUAAAAAAUGAUUUGUUCGGAAUGAACUUUUAUAGUGUGGAGGAAUACCUGCAAAUUAUAAUAUGAGGCCUACGUAUAUGAUAAUUUUAUUAUGAUCUGUUGUGUUUGUUUUUUUAUAUUUUGUAUUAUAUAUUUGUGUUAGCUUUAAGAAUUUAUUGACUAUUCCUAUACAAUUGUACAUUGUUUUAUGGAAAUAAAUAAAUGAUUGAUUGAUUGAAUAAGUUAGGAAACCAUACGAUCGAGAAAAAAACGGCUUCAAAGGCGACUGGGGAAUGAAAAUAUGAUAAUUUCAGUGAGGUCAAGCCCUAGAAGUCAUUUUCUUGGCUCGUACUAUUUUUUAAAGGCGCUCUAAGGUUGUAAUUUAUUUUUACAUUAAGUAAAUAUGAUUUUUAAAUGGUGUAGUUUAAGAUUGACCUCGCUAAAUUAUCAAUCGUCAUUCCUCAGCCGCCUUUGACGCCGUUUUUUUUAGACUAUUUGCUAUAACUAUGUUAUCUGUUAUGCAAAUACAUAUGUCAACAAGUAAAAAGCCAAUGAGAAAUUAGUUUCUGCUUGGAUCCUUACAGUGGCAUUUAACAAAAUAUAUAUUUUUUCAGGUUACAAUAUUUUAUUUAAUAUGAACCUGUAAAUGUAAGAAUAUUAUACAUAUAUUAUAUUUUUUACUCAGUCCCUAAAUAUAUUAUUAAAAUACAACACUUGUGUUUUUUAUUAAUAUCGUGUUAUGAUUAAUACCUAAUUAAUGUAAAAUUAUAUGGUAUGUAAAUAUCCUUACACUGAGAAUUCGUUUGGUCAAAAUAUUACUCUCUUACUAAUAUGAAUUUGAAAACUACAGAACAUUGUUUUUUUUUAGUUUUUGUGCUAAUAUUUCCACUUAAAAUUACCGAAUAUAUUUAUGGUAUAGGUAGGAAAAGAUGAAUUUUGUGCUUUUUAAUUAUACAUUAUAUUAAUUAUAUUAUUAUUGUAAAUAAUAUCUACUGAUAUUUAAUAUAAAAAAUAGUUAUUCACAUGCAUCUAUUUUUCUUUUGUAAUUAAUACUAUCUAAAUAACAAGACAUCUUAUAUAAUAGAUCCAUUAACAUUUUAGUUUAUCAAUUAUCAAUCACUAUACGAUAUACAAUACGUAUAAUAUCUUUUAAUUAUAUCUAACUUUUAAUUAUUGAAUAUUUAAUAAACAAAUUUUUUAUAGUGUUUGUUAAAUAUUUUAUAGCAUAUACUAUUAUGUAUUUAUAAUAAUUUAUUAGUUUUAUUGCAUGAACAUAUUUUUAAAAUUUAUUAUUAAAAAAUAUUUUAUCUUUGCCUCUAACCACCUACUUCUAUAUCUCUGGCUUUUAUUUACUAUCAUCAAUGAAUCUCAAGGUUAAAUUCUGUUUUGAUGCUCUUCCGCUGUAAACUCCCCUACCACUUUCCUCUUUACCCCGCUGUCCAUAAACUAUGGUAGUGGGGGCACUCACCGAUAAAACGAUGUAGGCACCUCGAUUUUGUGAAUUUAUGAAUGACUUGCUCUAUCUAUUUUUAUUCUUAAU
rnacentral:lncRNA from 1 species